rnacentral:rRNA from 1 species
UACGUAGGGGGCUAGCGUUGUCCGGAAUCAUUGGGCGUAAAGAGCGCGUAGGCGGCUCGGUAAGUCCGCUGUAAAAGUCAAAGGCUUAACCUUUGAAUGUCAGUGGAAACUGCCGGGCUAGAGUCCGGAAGAGGCGAGUGGAAUUCCCGGUGUAGCGGUGAAAUGCGCAGAGAUCGGGAGGAACACCCGUAGCGAAGGCGGCACUCUGGGCCGGUACUGACGCUGAGGCACGAAGGCCAGGGGAGCAAACGGG